rnacentral:lncRNA from 1 species
AAGUCACUGUUUAUUUUGGUAUUUCGGAUUUUAUAUAAAACAUUGAUGGUUUGCAUUCUCAAUCGGUUUGUGCAAGUCGUGUAGCAUCUAUGGAUCAAAAUUUAGUAUUGUCUGGAUAGUCAGGUGUGCUAAGUGUAUACAAAAAUUUGUGUUAAUCUAACGAUGCAAUCAAGAGAUAUCUAGGUUUUAGUACAAAGGGUUGUCGGAAGUUGGCAGUCUGGGGUUGAAUAGGGUUUCUGUGAUAUCUGAAGAUCUACUUGUUGGAUCGACGUAAUUUUUGGCUUGGUAAUAGAAGAUUUGGAGAUCAAGUGGCUAUUCAAUUUUGAGCUAGAGUUAACCGUUGAUAAAGGAAAAAUCACUUCUGGAGUUUCUACAU